ACUGAACGCUCCCUCCCCCUGCUGAAAUGCUAAGCCAAAGGAUUUAUCAGGCUCUUAUGUAACACGCUUUUAGGGUUUCCAGCAGAAAUAGGUGCUCUAAAUAUAAAUGAUUUGCAGAUAAAAUAGGCUUAUAUAAACCACUUCUGCUUUAUAUAACCCCUUGCUGGUGCUGCAGCCCAUGCUCACACAGCUCAGGGCCGGCAGCAGCGGGGCCAGGGUGUGCUGGUGCCCAAUGGGAGCCCCCACACAGACACAGCCAUGGCUCCUCCAAGAGCAGGAGCCAAGGGAAAGAUGCAGACACCGGCUCAUGGAGGGGCUCCCUUAAUCAGUCAUUGCACCGAGGCCGACCCCGACCGUCCGCUCUGGAAGCUGUGGUUGCAGCAGCUGCUGAGUAGAGAGAAAACCGGUGCAGACGGUUCUUCCAGUGCAGCCACAUCCAUCCUUUGGGAAAGGGCAGUCCAGCUGUACACCGACAGCUAGCACUGCUUUGCACCCAUCCCUGCUGCACACCUCCCUGCACGGCCAGCUGCUCCAAGGGCUCUGCUGAUAAACCUCCGUUCCCCUAGCUUGGCUCAGAGACACGCCAGAAGCCACAGCAGUGGCCAUUAGCAAGGGCAGCAACAAUUAGCUCUGAGAUACGGCCUCCCUGGCACCAAGCAGCGGUUGCUAUGUUACACCCUGAGCAGGAGAGAUCCAGCCAGACCCAGCACAGGAGCUCCAUGCCUCACACCAAGCAUUGUCUCGGGCAGGGGGACCGACUGCCAGGUGGUUUUGGCUGCUGGUCUGAGUACAACACAUGCAUAUGAUUACGUAGAAAUAUAGAAAGACAUAGCUAUGCAGAUCUAUCUUCUUCGUACGCACACCUGUAUUUUCAUACAUUCGAGAAAGAAGGAUGCAUUUCUGAGCUGCAGCAUAUCUUUUACAGCGGGGCAACGUGAUUUAUAUCUCUGCCAUUAACAUUUUCAUUCAAGUAACUGCUUAUUUAUUCCUAUAGCAGAGAAGCUGUUCUGACGACGUGGGAAGAUGCCGUUUCUGAGGCAGCCAGGGCUCUCAGCAGCCUGCAUUAUUUCUGGCGGGACUGUCAGUUCUCCAAGCACCACUACCUCAUUUUUAACGCAGAUCUGUUGGAAGACAUUUGGUCCAUCCUGCUUUUGUCAGCCACGGGCAGCAAAGUAGCCAUGGAGAGGCUGUGUGGAGAGACCACCACUCCAUGCCCUGGAGCCGAUGCCAGCAGCAGCCUGCUGUGUGCGCCGGGGGACAGAGAGCCCCAGCAGGCAGCCCAGCGCCCCGGGGAGAAGCCCGACCCCCACACAGGCAGCACGUGGGGGCACCGCGCUCCCACGGAGGCCACCUGUCCGGCUGCACACGCACACGUUUACCUUUGCUGGGCCGUACUUGAGGCCAGCCGGGCAGCGCACAGCUGGUGAGGGCAGGCUGCAUUGAACGCCCGAAGCUGCAAGUGGAAAAGUCGUCGCCCCGGCAGUAGCGAGGGAAAGGCCGUGUCAGCCCUCGGCGGGCAGCACCGUCCCGGCCUCAGCCCGCUGCCGGCUGCAGCGCUGCCAGAACGCUUCUGCGGGCCAAGGUUAAGGGCUCUGGGAAAAAGAAAGAAAUCUGCAAGCAGCAGACCGAAGCGUCUCUGAGCCGUGACCGUGUGCCACACAGCGCGCUCAGCUGACCGGACACGCUGGACUCAUCGCUCUGAGCGGAUGAGGACGGGGCCGGUUUGUGCAAUUCGUGAUAACAGCAUUUUGCAAACGUGAUGAAAAUGUGUGGUAAACCCCAGGCAAACUGCAGCAGCCUGUGCACACAACCCGUGCAAAAUAGGUGUGUCGGCACGGCCGGGCCCAGCUCUCCAACCCCGCUGUGCUGCUGCUCACAGCGCGGCACGGACCCAAACAGGAUCUGAGGCCGGGCACCACGAGGCCACCGCUCACCCCUUUGGGACCCCGGCUACUGCUCCCACUGUUUGCAGUCCAUGGGACAACGGCAGGCUGAGGAAUGAGCCCAGGGCACACUUUACAAAGUCUUCGUGGAGGCAGAAACCCGCUGCUCGGGACCCAAAACCCAGCUGUGGGUUGGGGGCAGCCACAGUUGUCCUCAUGAGCUGUGCCUGCAGCACUGGGGCUGCCCCACGCCGUUGCCUACAGCCUCCUGCUUCUGGCUCCGAGCUACAGCGACAGCUUUCAGAGUCCUGGGUGGCGAGAGGUGAAUGCCCACCCAGCUGCAGCUGCUCUCAAGGUUCAGAAAUAAAUGCUUUUGG
ensembl:lncRNA